rnacentral:rRNA from 1 species
UACGAAGGGGGCUAGCGUUGUUCGGAAUUACUGGGCUUAAAGCGCGCGCAGGUGGUCUUUCAAGUCAGUGGUGAAAGCCCGGAGCUCAACUCCGGAAAUGCCAUUGAAACUGUGAGACUUGAGGACGAGAGAGGUGAGUGGAAUUCCCAGUGUAGAGGUGAAAUUCGUAGAUAUUCGCAAGAACACCAGUGGCGAAGGCGGCUCACUGGCCCGAUACUGACGCUGAGGCACGAAAGCGUGGGGAGCAAACAGG